rnacentral:rRNA from 1 species
UACAGAGGUCUCAAGCGUUGUUCGGAUUCAUUGGGCGUAAAGGGUGCGUAGGCGGCCUGUUGCGUCGGUUGUGAAAGCCCGGGGCUUAACCCCGGGUCUGCAGUCGAUACGGGCAGGCUAGAGUUCGGUAGGGGAGAUCGGAAUUCCUGGUGUAGCGGUGAAAUGCGCAGAUAUCAGGAGGAACACCGGUGGCGAAGGCGGAUCUCUGGGCCGAUACUGACGCUGAGGAGCGAAAGCCAGGGGAGCAAACGGG